CGGGAGCCCACCUGCCAGGCAGCCAAUGCAGCCAGAAAGGGCUGCUCUGAAUGAGCAAAACCUGGCAGGUGGCAAAGAUGCGCUGUUUAUUUUUCCUAAUGACAAAAUUAGCACAUUGAUAAUAAUCAAACAGAGCUGUGUGCAAUGGGGGCUUAUUUAAUUAACAAAUGUCCUUUUGCAGGUAUGAGCAGGACACAGGCACUGUGCUCAUUCACACAAGCUGUUGUUCAGGUCCCUAGAAAGCUCAGAUGCAAACUGCUUUUGUCAGAUCUAGCUCUAGGGAUCCUACAGACAGCUGAAGCUGAUGGACUCCUUCAAGCAUGGGAACAGUUAGGAUGGGCCUUUUGUUCAGCCCAGUCUGGUAGAGCAAAACAUCCAAUGAAGUGUACCAGGGUGGAAGGACCAGGCACUCCACGGGCAGCACGUGCACUCCAG
ensembl:lncRNA